AGAUUGAACGCUGGCGGCAUGCCUUACACAUGCAAGUCGAACGGCAGCACGGGAGCAAUCCUGGUGGCGAGUGGCGAACGGGUGAGUAAUAUAUCGGAACGUGCCCAGUCGUGGGGGAUAACGCAGACGAAAGCUGUGCUAAUACCGCAUACGAUCUAUGGAUGAAAGCGGGGAUCGCAAGACCUCGCGCGAUUGGAGCGGCCGAUAUCAGAUUAGUCUUAGGUUGGUAGGGGUAAAACGCCUAACCGAAGGCCGAACGAUCUGGUACGCGUGGUCGUGGAGACGGACGACCAGCCACACGUGGAACUGAGACACGGUCCAGGACUCCGUACGGGAGGCAGCGUAGGUCGGGGUAAAUUUUCGGGAAC
rnacentral:rRNA from 1 species